rnacentral:miRNA from 1 species
UCACUGGGCAAAGUAGACCCUG